rnacentral:rRNA from 1 species
GAUGAACGCUAGCGGCAGGCCUAAUACAUGCAAGUCGAACGAGAUUAAGAGGCUUGCUUCUUAUGAAAGUGGCGCACGGGUGCGUAACGCGUAUGCAACCUACCUUAAUCAGGGGGAUAGCCCGAAGAAAUUCGGAUUAAGACCGCAUAAAAACACAGGAUAGCAUUAUCCAAUGUUCAAAUAUUUAUAGGAUUAAGAUGGGCAUGCGUGUCAUUAGCUAGUUGGCGGGGUAACGGCCCACCAAGGCGACGAUGACUAGGGGAUCUGAGAGGAUGACCCCCCACACUGGUACUGAGACACGGACCAGACUCCUACGGGAGGCAGCAGUAAGGAAUAUUGGGCAAUGGAGGGAACUCUGAACCAGCCAUGCCGCGUGCAGGAAGACAGCCCUCUGGGUCGUAAACUGCUUUUAUUCGGGAAUAAACCUUUCUACGUGUAGGAAGCUGAAGGUACCGAAGGAAUAAGAAUCGGCUAACUCCGUG